rnacentral:rRNA from 1 species
UACGGAGGGGGCUAGCGUUAUUCGGAAUUAUUGGGCGUAAAGGGCGUGUAGGCGGCUCUAUGUGUCCCAUGUGAAAGCCCUCGGCUCAACCGGGGAACGUGCAUGGGAAACUGCGGAGCUUGAGUCCGGGAGAGGUGAGUGGAAUUCCCAGUGUAGCGGUGAAAUGCGUAGAUAUUGGGAGGAACACCAGUGGCGAAGGCGGCUCACUGGACCGGUACUGACGCUGAGACGCGAAAGCGUGGGGAGCGAACCGG